GAUUGGCGGACGGGGGAGUAACACGUGGGUAACCUGCCCUUAAGUGGGGGAUAACAUUUGGAAACAGAUGCUAAUACCGCAUAGAUCCAAGAACCGCAUGGUUCUUGGCUGAAAGAUGGCGUAAGCUAUCGCUUUUGGAUGGACCCGCGGCGUAUUAGCUAGUUGGUGAGGUAAUGGCUCACCAAGGCGAUGAUACGUAGCCGAACUGAGAGGUUGAUCGGCCACAUUGGGACUGAGACACGGCCCAAACUCCUACGGGAGGCAGCAGUAGGGAAUCUUCCACAAUGGACGCAAGUCUGAUGGAGCAACGCCGCGUGAGUGAAGAAGGCUUUCGGGUCGUAAAACUCUGUUGUUGGAGAAGAAUGGUCGGCAGAGUAACUGUUGUCGGCGUGACGGUAUCCAACCAGAAAGCCACGGCUAACUACGUG
rnacentral:rRNA from 2 species